rnacentral:rRNA from 1 species
GUAGGUGGCAAGCGUUGUCCGGAAUUAUUGGGCGUAAAGCGCGCGCAGGUGGUUCUUUAAGUCUGAUGUGAAAGCCCCCGGGCUCAACCGGGGGAGGGUCAUUGGAAACUGGGGAACUUGAGUGCAGGAGAGGAAAGUGGAAUUCCACGUGUAGCGGUGAAAUGCGUAGAUAUGUGGAGGAACACCAGUGGCGAAGGCGACUUUCUGGCCUGUAACUGACACUGAGGCGCGAAAGCGUGGGGAGCAAACAGGAUUAGAUACCCUGGUAGUCCACGCCGUAAACGAUGAGUGCUAAGUGUUGGGGGGUUUCCGCCCCUCAGUGCUGCAGCUAACGCAUUAAGCACUCCGCCUGGGGAGUACGGUCGCAAAGACUGA